UUGGAGAAAGCUUCCUGACUGGAAUAAUAAAUUGUGCUUGAAAAACAUAGAAAUAGAGGAGAGGGCAAGGUUACUUCUGAAAUGGAAAACUAAGUGGCACAUGGUUUGAAAACUCUCAGAAUCACUGGCAUUCCUUGGUCAAGCUGAGUGGAACAAAUCACUCCCCAAACAAAAUUUUUCGGGUUAAUGCUGGGCAACUUGUCUCAAAAAGGAAGUUUUGACUCUAUAGAGCCAGUGGAUGUGGACCAUGGACUUAGGAAGAGAUUUGGACACAAAGCAGAGAACACCGAAGAGCUGCUCAUUUGCACUGAAGUGGUUUGCUGGCUUUCUGCCUAGAUCUGACAUCUCUUCAAAUGGACGGUCCCAACUCUCUCUCAAUUCUCUUCCCCCUUCUCUGUAAGUCACAAAUGCUGCAUUUGGAGGAACUUCAUUUUAACUAGGAUAAACAUCACAUAAUAAAUGAUGCAUUUUUUCCCAUAAAGCAAACCAUUUAUAAAUGUUUUUAGUAAUUGUUCAUAUUGGAGCACUUGGUGGAAGUCUUAUGAUCUAUAGUGUCCAGUGAGGCUUCCAUUUAAAGGGGAGCAGAGACAAUGCCAAAGUUGAUAGAAGGGAUGAUGGGGAGAUAAACUCUCGAGGCCUAUAUAUUAUCCACCCGCAGUGAUGGAAGGGCCACAGGAAGGACGGUGAUUAUUCUAUUUGGCAAGCCAAUUGUCUGUCUUUGGAAAAUGAUAGGAAGAAGAGUGGAGUCAAAAAUAAUACCUUUCUCACGCCCAGAUAUAAACGAGCUAUUUACAAUCCCUGCUGCCUUUUAGGUUUGGGUUUUAUUUUUCCUCUGAACAAUAGAUUAAACCUUCGAGGAGGUUUGUAGUAAAAGAGGAGGAAACUAUAAAAAACACCACAUACUUGCAGACAUCUGCAAGAAACCAUAUUAUUUGUCCCCUUCAAAGGAAUCUCCUGGAGAGACUAUAAGUUUAUUCAAAUAAAAUAGCUGUGUUGCAGACUUUUAGA